rnacentral:rRNA from 1 species
GAUGAACGCUGGCGGCGUGCUUAACACAUGCAAGUCGAGCGAGUGAGUUCUUCGGAACGAUCUAGCGGCGGACGGGUGAGUAGCACGUGGGCAACCUGCCUCAUAGAGGGGAAUAGCCUCCCGAAAGGGAGAUUAAUACCGCAUAAAAUUAUCGAGUGGCAUCACAUGAUAAUCAAAGGAGUAAUCCGCUAUGAGAUGGGCCCGCGGCGCAUUAGCUAGUUGGUGAGGUAACGGCUCACCAAGGCGACGAUGCGUAGCCGACCUGAGAGGGUGAUCGGCCACAUUGGGACUGAGACACGGCCCAGACUCCUACGGGAGGCAGCAGUGGGGAAUACUGCACAAUGGGCGCAAGCCUGACGCAGCGACGCCGCAUGAGGGAUGACGGCCUUCGGGUUGUAAACCUCUUUCAGCACCGACGAAGCGCAAGUGACGGUAGGUGCAGAAGAAGGACCGGCCAACUACGUGCCAGCCGCCGCUGUAA